rnacentral:rRNA from 1 species
UACGUAGGGUGCAAGCGUUGUCCGGAAUUAUUGGGCGUAAAGAGCUCGUAGGCGGUCUGUUGCGUCCGCUGUGAAAACUCGGGGCUUAACCCCGAGCCUGCAGUGGAUACGGGCAGGCUAGAGUUCGGUAGGGGAGACUGGAAUUCCUGGUGUAGCGGUGAAAUGCGCAGAUAUCAGGAGGAACACCGGUGGCGAAGGCGGUUCUCUGGGACGGUACUGACGCUGAGGCACGAAAGCGUGGGGAGCAAACAGG